AUGCAAAAAAAAAAACGACAUGGUUUUCAUCUUCCUUAUAUCUGUACGGCGAGUCCCAAAGUUAAAAUUAGGGUUCUUCAAAUUUUCAAGUUUAUAAUUGUUCAUCUUCUCCCUGGCGAAAUUUGAAUGGAAUUAGCUCCUGAAAUACACAGAGGAGCUUUGGCUAUUGUUUUGACAUUGAGUGUUGAGAUUGAAUCUUGAUUAAAUCCUCUAAGAGAAGAAGAAGCGGAAGCAAGGAAGCUUGCCACACAAAAAGAAGAAGUGAUCAAGGAGUCACGUAGAAGAAGAAUAAAGAAGAAGAAGAAGCUUGGAGCGCAAGAAAUGGAGGAAGAAGAAGAAGAAGAAGAAAAAGAAGAAGAAGAAGAAGAAGAGCAAGAAAGGAAGAAGACUUGGUUGUGUAGUUACACAACCAGAAGAAUAAAAGUAAGUCAGUUUGGUUAAAAGCUAACUAAAUUAAGUUGUUAAGAUAGAGUUGUGGUUGCAGCUUGUUUUAGUGGUGAAAGUGUUGUUUUAACUUGUUUCUAUGACAUUUUGAUUGUGUUUCAAGUGUUGUUUUUGUACUUAUUUUAUGUCAAGAGUUAAGAUUGUCA